AUUCAUUCUCAUACCAGCCGCCCUAGGCAAGGGGAUUAAAUCAUCCAACAAACAUGGGGUUUGAAUUCGAGGGAUGAUUCUAAAUCUGAACGAAUUAUAUCAUUUAAGACGUCAAAAUUGACGAAUGACAUGUCUAUAAAGAUAAAAAUCAAAGCAAGGCUUAGGGUUUGACGAUACAAGUAGGCAUAAGACAUUACAUUAAAUCAAGCCCUUUUCGCAUAGUCAUCGUCGUUAUCCUCGUCUCCAUACUUUCCUCCUCCCAAAAAAUCAUCACCUCCCUGGGAUGCAUUGCUGCGAUUAUAACCUCCACCACUAUAACCACCACCGCCACCAUAACCACUACCACCA
rnacentral:misc_RNA from 1 species